GUUUUGCACAGUUCCGUCUCAGCCGACAGUUUCUUCUGCUCUCAAAACGUAUUGGAGGAGGUGCAGCGUCCACAUCCCAAGAUGUUCUUGUCAUCACUAAGGAUGGACUCUCAGAGGCUCCAAGAGAGGCGUAUAUGGAAGAGGAGCCUACUGGAUCCAAAAUUCCACCUACCUCCAAUCCAAUUGGUCCAGCUAAAUGACCAACCACACUCUCUGAUCCAGUAAGAAUGGAUUUGGUGCAGAGAGGUCCUUUUCAGACUGAGAAAGACUCUGACUUUCCAAAAUCCCCUCAUUGAGCUGUUGUGUUCUUUAUGUUGGAUUGUUUUAUCGUUAUUUGAUUUUCUGUUAAGUUGCUGUUUUUAAAAGUUGGAGUUUUGGGAAUGUAAUUUGUUGAGUGCCUAAUGUUACAUUAAAAAAUAUAUAUUUAUAUAUCUA